GAUUUCUGGCUUGUCAACAUUUUGCCGGCCACGGUUUCGUGUGUCAGUGCAACGAUGUUCUGGCCAUCCUUCCAAUCGCUACGCGGCUACCUUCAUUGGUUAGUCGCGUGGUAUUGGAUCUUUUACUUUGAAAAAAUUAGAGUGUUUCAAGCAGGCUUUAUGCUAUGAAUACAUUAGCAUGGAAUAAUAAUUUAGGACUUCGGUUCUAUUUUGUUGGUUUCUAGGACUGAAGUAAUGAUUGAUAGGGAUAGUUGGGGGUGCUAGUAUUCAGCGGCCAGAGGUGAAAUUCUCGGAUUCGCUGAAGACUAACUUAUGCGAAAGCAUU
rnacentral:rRNA from 2 species